UACGUAGGGUGCGAGCGUUAAUCGGAAUUACUGGGCGUAAAGCGUGCGCAGGCGGUUUUGUAAGACAGAUGUGAAAUCCCCGGGCUCAAACCUGGGAACUGCGUUUGUGACUGCAAGACUUGAGUAAUGGCAGAGGGGGGUAGGAAUUCCAACGGUGUAGCAGUGAAAUGCGUAGAGAUGUGGAGGAAUACCGAUGGCGAAGGCAGCCCCCUGGGUCAAUACUGACGCUCAUGCACGAAAGCGUGGGAGCAAACAGG
rnacentral:rRNA from 1 species